rnacentral:rRNA from 1 species
CGUAUANUAGUGCNAGGUUUCCGGAUCAUNGGCGUAAAGGAGCGCAGUGGNANUUAGUUCCUNUUAAAGUGNGGGNUCAACCCGUGAUGGAGAGAACCGAGAUUNUGAGUGCAGGAGAGGAAAGCGGAAUUCCCGGUGUAGCGUGAAAUGCGUAGAUAUCGGGAGGAACACCAGUGGCGAAGGCGGCUUUCUNGACUGUGACUGACACUGAGGCUCGAAAGCCAGGGUAGCGAACGGGAUUAGAUACCCCGGUAGUCCUGGCCGUAAACGAUGAAUGCUAGGUGUAGGAGGUAUCGACCCCUCCUGUGCCGGAGUUAACGCAAUAAGCAUUCCGCCUGGGGAGUACGGCCGCAAGGCUGAAACUCAAAGGAAUUGACGGGGGCCCGCACAAGCGGUGGAGUAUGUGGUUUAAUUCG